rnacentral:tRNA from 1 species
GGGGCUGUAGCGCAGUUGGUAGCGCACUUCGUUCGCAAUGAAGGGGUCAGGGGUUCGAAUCCCCUCAGCUCCA